AGAGUUUGAUCCUGGCUCAGAAUGAACGUUGGCGGCGUGGAUUAGGCAUGCAAGUCGCGCGAUAAGUCCCCGCAAGGGGAUGGAAAGCGGCGAAAGGGACAGUAAUGCGUAGAUACCUACCCUCGGGCUCGGGAUAGCUGCGGGAAACUGCAAUUAAUACCGAAUAACGUCUCCGGACCAAAGGUGUGAUUCCGCCUGGGGAUGGGUCUGCGUCCUAUUAGCUAGUUGGUGUGGUAACGGCGCACCAAGGCAAAGAUGGGUAGCAGGUGUGAGAGCACGACCUGCGUCACUGGGACUGAGACACUGCCCAGACACCUACGGGUGGCUGCAGUCGAGGAUCUUCGGCAAUGGGCGCAAGCCUGACCGAGCGACGCCGCGUGCGGGAUGAAGGCCUUCGGGUUGUAAACCGCUGUCAGAGAGGCGGAAAUGUAGGGGGGUUCUCCCCUUUAUUGACCUAAUCU
rnacentral:rRNA from 1 species